rnacentral:rRNA from 1 species
GACAGAGGGUGCAAACGUUGUUCGGAAUUACUGGGCGUAAAGCGCGUGUAGGCGGCAGGGCAUGUCGGAUGUGAAAUCCCGUGGCUCAACCACGGAAGUGCACCCGAAACUGCCCAGCUUGAGUCUCGGAGAGGAAGGCGGAAUGCUUGGUGUAGAGGUGAAAUUCGUAGAUAUCAAGCGGAACACCGGUGGCGAAGGCGGCCUUCUGGACGAUGACUGACGCUGAGACGCGAAAGCGUGGGGAGCGAACCGG